AUUGAACGCUGGCGGCAUGCCUUACACAUGCAAGUCGAACGGUAACAGGUCUUCGGAUGCUGACGAGUGGCGAACGGGUGAGUAAUACAUCGGAACGUGACCGAGAGUGGGGGAUAAGGAAGCGAAAGCUUUGCUAAUACCGCAUACGAUCUCAGGAUGAAAGCAGGGGACCGCAAGGCCUUGCGCUCACGGAGCGGCCGAUGGCAGAUUAGGUAGUUGGUGGGAUAAAAGCUUACCAAGCCGACGAUCUGUAGCUGGUCUGAGAGGACGACCAGCCACACUGGGACUGAGACACGGCCCAGACUCCUACGGGAGGCAGCAGUGGGGAAUUUUGGACAAUGGGCGCAAGCCUGAUCCAGCCAUGCCGCGUGCAGGAUGAAGGCCUUCGGGUUGUAAACUGCUUUUGUACGGAACGAAAAGACUCUGGUUAAUACCUGGGGUCCAUGACGGUACCGUAAGAAUAAGCACCGGCUAACUACGUGCCAGCCGCCGCAGUAA
rnacentral:rRNA from 1 species